rnacentral:rRNA from 1 species
UACGUAGGGUGCGAGCGUUAAUCGGAAUUACUGGGCGUAAAGCGUGCGCAGGCGGUUUUGAAAGUCAGAUGUGAAAUCCCCGAGCUCAACUUGGGAACUGCGUUUGAAACUCCAAAGCUAGAGUAUGGGAGAGGGGGGUAGAAUUCCACGUGUAGCAGUGAAAUGCGUAGAGAUGUGGAGGAAUACCAAUGGCGAAGGCAGCCCCCUGGCCUAAUACUGACGCUCAUGCACGAAAGCGUGGGGAGCAAACAGGAUUAGAUACCCUGGUAGUCCACGCCCUAAACGAUGUCUACUAGUUGUUGGUGGAGUAAAAUCCAUUAGUAACGCAGCUAACGCGUGAAGUAGACCGCCUGGGGAGUACGGUCGCAAGAUUAAA